CUGAGACACGGCCCAGACUCCUACGGGAGGCAGCAGUAGGGAAUCUUCGGCAAUGGGGGCAACCCUGACCGAGCAACGCCGCGUGAGUGAAGAAGGUUUUCGGAUCGUAAAGCUCUGUUGUUAGAGAAGAAUGAUGGUGGGAGUGGAAAAUCCACCAAGUGACGGUAACUAACCAGAAAGGGACGGCUAACUACGUGCCAGCAGCCGCGGUAAUACGUAGGUCCCGAGCGUUGUCCGGAUUUAU
rnacentral:rRNA from 1 species